GACGAACGCUGGCGGCGUGCUUAACACAUGCAAGUCGAACGGUGAAGCGCCUUCCUUUUUGGUGGGUGUGGAUGAGUGGCGAACGGGUGAGUAACACGUGAGUAACCUGCCCCCUUCUUCUGGAUAACCGCAUGAAAGUGUGGCUAAUACGGGAUAUUCUGGGUCUGUCGCAUGAUGGGUCUGGGAAAGAUAUUGUUUCGGUGGGGGAUGGGCUCGCGGCCUAUCAGCUUGUUGGUGGGGUGAUGGCCUACCAAGGCGGUGACGGGUAGCCGGCCUGAGAGGGUGGACGGUCCCACUGGGACUGAGGCACGGCCCAGACUCCUACGGGAGGCAGCAGGGGGGAAUAUUGCACAAUGGGCGCAAGCCUGAUGCAGCGACGCCGCGUGAGGGAUGGAGGCCUUCGGGUUGUGAACCUCUUUCGCCAGUGAAGCAGGCCUGCCUCGUUUGUGGGUGGGUUGACGGUAGCUUGAUAAGAAGCGCCGGCUAACUACGUG
rnacentral:rRNA from 1 species